GAAUUCAGACAAACUCCGAAUGCCAAUUAAUUUAACUUGGGAGUCAGAACAUGGGUGAUAAGGUCCGUGUUCGAAAGGGAAACAGCCCAGACCACCAGCUAAGGUCCCAAAAUAUAUGUUAAGUGGAAAAGGAUGUGGCGUUGCCCAGACAACUAGGAUGUUGGCUUAGAAGCAGCCAUCAUUUAAAGAGUGCGUAAUAGCUCACUAGUCGAGUGACACUGCGCCGAAAAUGUACCGGGGCUAAACAUAUUACCGAAGCUGUGGAUUGUCCUUUGGACAAUGGUAGGAGAGCGUUCUAAGGGCGUUGAAGCAUGAUCGUAAGGACAUGUGGAGCGCUUAGAAGUGAGAAUGCCGGUGUGAGUAGCGAAAGACGGGUGAGAAUCCCGUCCACCGAUUGACUAAGGUUUCCAGAGGAAGGCUCGUCCGCUCUGGGUUAGUCGGGUCCUAAGCUGAGGCCGACAGGCGUAGGCGAUGGAUAACAGGUUGAUAUUCCUGUACCACCUAUAAUCGUUUUAAUCGAUGGGG
rnacentral:rRNA from 1 species